UAGGCAAGGUUGAACAAUGGUGAGAUGUUCAUUCUAAUUGUAACAUAAUUUUUUUUAAUUUCUUUGCUUCGAACGUAGAUACAUAUAUCCAAAAACAUUAGUUAGAUAAGGUUUUUACCUUUCAGUUAAGCACCAUAAAAUGACCCCAGGAAUAGUAAAUGAUGGGAAAGAAGUCGAACUAUGCAAAUAAUAGACGCUUUAUUUUAAUUUCUAUUUACAACUUUUCUUCAUUAAAUUUGAACAACAUUUGAAUAUAUCACCACAACUAUAUUUCGAACUUGUACUCAAUCAAAUAAUCUUUCACUUCUAGGAUCCUCCAUUUGGCCGCCGAUACGAUUUAUAUAAAUAUGUUCGCAUGCAGAUAAGAUCACAAACACUGUUUUGAUUAAUCUAUUCACCAUAGUAAUCGUAUCUUAUCUGGUUAAACAUGUUAAUAAUAAUACAGCUACGCACGAAAUUUCAACUUAAAGUAAAUUAACUAAACAAAACAAGUUUACAACUAUUUUUUUCAAAGUCUCAAAGCAGCUGUGCCCCUAAACUCCAGACGAACGAUGUCAGAAAAAAGUUUUGCUGAAUAUUUGGCACUGUUCCGUAAAGUCCUCAAACGAUUCGACCAUUGAUCAAUAGAAGCACGCACCGAGACUAUUGAUAUUCACAUCGCUGCUGGACAAUUUUUGAGAUUCUUCAAAUUUCUGUGGGGUAUUCUACAGGUCAUGUUCUCUAACUCUGACCACAAACUGCAAGUCAAUGGAUUCAAAUCUGAACUUCCAGACGGCCAAUAUCCAGCUAUGAAGCCAGGAAUAUUGCUUUUAAGCAAUUUCUAGGUGAUUUUGCCUUGUGUGUUCCAAUUCUAGCCAUCGAUCAGAAUAUUGCCCAACUGCUUUCUAAAACAUACUUGCUUAUAACCACAAAUCAACGCUACUAAAGUCAACUAUAGAUUUACUUGAUGAGACAAUGUGAAAAUUAUUUAUAGAAUUGUUGUUGGUUUUCUAAUUAUAAUGUAUAAAUGUUUUUUUCUUUCUGUUAUCACAACAUUUUUGUACCUUUAUUGUGUAUCACCAAUCAAUCUUAAAAGUGCGUAUUUCACUUUUUUGUUGUAUAAUUAUUAGUAAAACCACGCCCAGUUUCCCAUAAAAUAAAAAUAAAUAAAAAAAUU